UAAUUAAGCGGAGGAAAAGAAACUAACAAGGAUUGACUCAGUAAGGGCGACUGAAGCGUCAAUAGCUCACCAUGUGAAUCUGCACCAUGUGUGCUGAAUUGUGGCUUGGAGACACUUGCGUGAUUUGGCUGGGCCAAGUCCUUUGGAAUAGGGCAGCGCAGAGGGUGAAACUCCCGUUCGUCCAGCCUUGCAAGCAAGUGUUGUGGAGUCGAGUUGUUUGGGAUUGCAGCUCAAAGAGGGUGGUAAAUUUCAUCGAAAGCUAAAUAUAGGUGGGAAACCGAUAGCGAACAAGUACCGUGAGGGAAAGAUGCAAAGAACUUUGAAAAGAGAGUUAAAGAGUACCUGAAAUUGCUGAAAAGGAAGCGAUGGAAACCAGUGAUAACAGUGCCAUACUUCCCGAUGCGCUUGCGCUUAGGGCGCUGUGGCCAGUGUAGUGCACAUUUGUUGAAAACGGCGGAAGAAUUGCAGCGGGAGUUGUCCGUUACUAAUUGCGUCGAUUUCGACCGAAGUGAACGAAAUGGUUUUCAUCUCCCCG
rnacentral:rRNA from 1 species